GCAAAGUAUAUCGCAAGCGGUUUGCCCUCACGGGUGAUUAAAAGGGAAUCGGGUGGAAAUCCCGGACAGUCCCGCUGCUGUGAGCCGCCCCUUAUGAAAGGGUCGAACAAUAGCCACUGGAAAUUCUUAUAGCUCCAAUCUGUUAUUAUGAAAUGUCUAACGAUUGUUGGAGGUUAACGGGAAGGCGUUCGAUACCGGGCGGCAAGUCAGAAGACCUGCCAUUGCGACACAUGGCGU
rnacentral:ncRNA from 2 species